rnacentral:rRNA from 1 species
GAUGAACGCUGGCGGCGUGCCUAAUACAUGCAAGUCGAGCGAACAGACGAGGAGCUUGCUCCUCUGACGUUAGCGGCGGACGGGUGAGUAACACGUGGAUAACCUACCUAUAAGACUGGGAUAACUUCGGGAAACCGGAGCUAAUACCGGAUAAUAUAUUGAACCGCAUGGUUCAAUAGUGAAAGACGGUUUUGCUGUCACUUAUAGAUGGAUCCGCGCCGCAUUAGCUAGUUGGUAGGGUAACGGCUUACCAAGGCGACGAUGCGUAGCCGACCUGAGAGGGUGAUCGGCCACACUGGACCUGAGACACGGUCCAGACUCCUACGGGAGGCAGCAGUAGGGAAUCUUCCGCAAUGGGCGAAAGCCUGACGGAGCAACGCCGCGUGAGUGAUGAAGGUCUUCGGAUCGUAAAACUCUGUUAUUAGGGAAGAACAAAUGUGUAAGUAACUAUGCACGUCUUGACGGUACCUAAUCAGAAAGCCACGGCUAACUACGU